GGGCGAGUGGCGAAAUUGGUAGACGCGCUAGAUUUAGGAUCUUGUGCAGCAAUGCGUGGGGGUUCGAUUCCCUUCUCGCCCACCA
rnacentral:tRNA from 2 species